rnacentral:misc_RNA from 1 species
GAUGAAGAACGCAGCGAAAUGCGAUAAGUAAUGUGAAUUGCAGAAUUCAGUGAAUCAUCGAGUCUUUGAACGCACAUUGCGCCCUCUGGUAUUCCGGAGGGCAUGCCUGUCCGAGCGUCAUUGCUGCCCUCCAGCCCGGCUGGUGUGUUGGGCCCCGUCCCCCUUCCCGGGGGGACGGGCCCGAAAGGCAGCGGCGGCACCGCGUCCGGUCCUCGAGCGUAUGGGGCUUUGUCACCCGCUCUUGUAGGCCCGGCCGGCGCCAGCCGACCCCCUCAAUCUAUUUUUCAGGUUGACCUCGGAUCAGGUAGGGAUACCCGCUGAACUUAAGCAUAUCAAUAAGCGGAGGA